CGCUGCCGUCGAUGAUGAUGGUUGUGAUCCUGUCGUCCCUUAUUUCCUUCAGCAGCGACGUCGGAUCCUGCUCCUCGUCCAGGACUCGAACCGACAGCGACUCGCGCGAGAUCAGGAACUGCCGCACCAGGUCCUCGAGGCGCAGGAGACCUGGGGGCACAACCACAACCACAACCAUUAGAACCAGCAUUAAUCAGCAUCAGCACUGCCCCCAUUCACCCCAUUCACCCCCAUUCGUCUUCAUUCAUCCCCAUCACCCCCUAUCCCCAUUCACCCCCAUUCAUCCCCAUCGCCCCCUACCCCCAUUCGUCUCCUUCCAUCCCCAUCCAUCCCCAUUUGCCCCCAUUCAUUUCAAUCCAUCCCCAUUCAUCCCCAUUCAUCCCCAUCCAUCCUCAUCCAUCCCCAUUCACCCCCAUUUGUCUUCAUUCAUCCCCAUCCAUCCUCAUCCAUCCCCAUUCAUUUCCAUUCAUCCCCAUUGCCCCCCAUCCCCUCACUGUCCCCAUUCACCCCCAUUCACCCCCAUUCAUCCCCAUCCAUCCCCAUUCGCCCCCAUUCAUCCCCAUCCAUCCCCAUCCAUCCCCAUUCACCCCCAUUCAUUUCCAUCCAUCUUCAUUCAUCCCCAUAACCCCCUACCCCCAUUCACCCCCAUUCAUCCCCAUCGCCCCCUACCCCCAUUCGUCCCCAUCCAUCCCCAUCAUCCCCAUCAUCCCCAUCCAUCCCCAUUCGUCCCCAUCCAUCCCCAUCCAUCCCCAUUCAUCCCCAUCCAUCCUCAUCCAUCCCCAUUCAUUUCCAUUCAUCCCCACUCAUCCCCAUCACCCAUCCCCAUUAACCCCCAUUCACCCCCAUUCAUUUCCAUUCAUCCCCAUUGCCCCCAUUCCCCUCACUGUCCCCAUUCAUCUUCAUUCACCCCCAUUCAUUUCCAUCCAUCCCCAUUCCCCUCACUGUCCCCAUUCACCCCAUCCAUCCCCAUUUGUCUUCAUUCAUCCCCAUCGCCCCCUAUCCCCAUUCACCCCCAUGCCUCCCAUCCCCAUUCACCCCCACUCAUCCCCAUCUAUCCCCAUUCACCCCCAUUCAACCCAUCCCCAUUAACCCCCAUUCACCCCCAUUCACCUCCAUUCAUCCCCAUCCAUCCCCAUUCCCCACACUGCCCCCAUUCAUCCCCAUUCGUCCUCAUUCAUCCCCAUCCAUCCCCAUUCACCCCCAUUCAUUUCCAUUCAUCUCCAUCCAUCCCCAUUUGCCUCCAUUCACCCCCAUCCAUCUCCAUUCACCCCCAUUC
rnacentral:lncRNA from 1 species